AACGCGAAGAACCUUACCAAGUCUUGACAUCCCAAUGACCGGAACUUAACCGUUCCUUCCCUUCGGGGCAUUGGAGACAGGUGGUGCAUGGUUAUCGUCAGCUCGUGUCGUGAGAUGUUGGGUUGAGUCCCGCAACGAGCGCAACCCUUAUCCUUAGUAGCCAGCACAUGAUGGUGGGCACUCUAGGGAGACUGCCAGGGAUAACCUGGAGGAAGGUGGGGAUGACGUCAAAUCAUCAUGCCCCUUAUGAUUUGGGCUACACACGUGCUACAAUGGCGUAAACAAAGGGAAGCGACCCCGCGAGGGUAAGCAAAUCUCAAAAAUAACGUCUCAGUUCGGAUUGCAGGCCGCAACUCGCCUGCAUGAAGCUGGAAUCGCUAGUAAUCGCGAAUCAGAAUGUCGCGGUGAAUACGUUCCCGGGUCUUGUACACACCG
rnacentral:rRNA from 1 species